rnacentral:rRNA from 1 species
ACUCUGAAUACUUAGUAUCGNCUGAGUACUAUAUAAUAGUUAAAACUUUCAACUAACGGAUCUCUUGGUAUCUGGCUACUCAAUGAAAAACGCAGCGAAAUGCGAUAGAGUAAUGUGAUAUUGCAAAAUUUAUUGAAUCAUCNAAUCUUUGAACGCACUAUUGCGCCCCUUGUUAUUCCGAGGGAGCAUGCCGUGUUCAGAGCGUCAUUACAACCCUCAAGCAUUGCUUGGUAUUGGGCUCCGCUGCUCACCCAGCCGGCCUUAUAAGUCANUGGCGGUGCCGUCAGGCCCUGAGCGAUACGUAAAUAUCCUCGCUAUAGUGGACCUGCUGCACGCUG